GAUGAACGCUGGCGGCGUGCUUAACACAUGCAAGUCGAACGGUGAAGCCAAGCUUGCUUGGUGGAUCAGUGGCGAACGGGUGAGUAACACGUGAGCAACCUGCCCUGGACUCUGGGAUAAGCGCUGGAAACGGCGUCUAAUACUGGAUAUGAGCUCUCAUCGCAUGGUGGGGGUUGGAAAGAUUUUUCGGUCUGGGAUGGGCUCGCGGCCUAUCAGCUUGUUGGUGAGGUAAUGGCUCACCAAGGCGUCGACGGGUAGCCGGCCUGAGAGGGUGACCGGCCACACUGGGACUGAGACACGGCCCAGACUCCUACGGGAGGCAGCAGUGGGGAAUAUUGCACAAUGGGCGGAAGCCUGAUGCAGCAACGCCGCGUGAGGGAUGACGGCCUUCGGGUUGUAAACCUCUUUUAGCAGGGAAGAAGCGAGAGUGACGGUACCUGCAGAAAAAGCGCCGGCUAACUACGUGCCAGCAGCCGCGGUAAUACGUAGGGCGCAAGCGUUAUCCGGAAUUAUUGGGCGUAAAGAGCUCGUAGGCGGUUUGUCGCGUCUGCUGUGAAAUCCCGAGGCUCAACCUCGGGCCUGCAGUGGGUACGGGCAGACUAGAGUGCGGUAGGGGAGAUUGGAAUUCCUGGUGUAG
rnacentral:rRNA from 1 species